rnacentral:rRNA from 1 species
AUGCUUCUAGAAUUUCCAAGACAUGAAAUCCGUAUGUGCUCACGUGCAACAUUUUUGUACCAAAAUAUUGUCUCAGAUUCCAUCACAUUUUGCAGAAACCACCCUCAGAUGGAACCGGCAAAGAACGGGAAGGGCAAGGAGAACACAGAAGAGCAUAAGAAUGAAACAGAAGAGAAGCUAGUUGUGGACAUUGUGGACAAUGAUUAUAUAGAUGCAGUUGAAGAAACAAACUCCAUUUCCACUGAUACCCUUGUGAGUGAGAGUGAUUCUGAGAGUGACGAUUCCGAGAGUGACGCACCUCAACGAGCGCCAAGCAACAGAACCCGAGGAGGAGGACGAGGAGGCAAUAGAACCCGAGGAGGAGGAGGAGGGCGAGGGGGCAACAGAACCCGGGGAGGAGGAGGACGAGGGGCUAACAGAAUCCGAGGAGGAAGAAGAGGGGGUACGGGACGCACUAGUGGUUAG